AAGCAGAGUGACAGACGCCGCAUAAGCAUUUUUUAUCUGGUUUCGUUUAAUUGUAUUUCUGAAACUUCAAAAUGGACCGAAAAACAAUUCGUAAGAAUAUCUACUGGACCCUUGAUUUGGAAACGAAGAUUGCGAAACUCGGCAGGAAGGAAGCCAAAAUUGAAUAUUUAGAGAAGAGUAUUAUUUCGUUUCAACUUGAGGAAAAAGCUUUAUUGAAAUGCGAACGGUCUCUUGCCAUCCUUGAUGGUGAUUUAGACGACGGCUCCACGCGAUGCCCAAGGCGCAGCUCGAGGCUCAGGGAAAAGCAUCAGGCGCAGCAAAAGGGCGAGUAGGACAACGACGUAAGCAACGAGUGCGAAGGCGAAGACAACCAAAAGUAACGACUGCAGCAGUUAAAUUCAAUUAAAUGGAACACUUUUUUUUAUUUAUUGGUGUUUUUUGUUUUUUUAUUUCGUUUUGUGAAAUUAGCCCGCCUGGUUCUGGACCCUUCGACCCUUCCAAUUGCGAUGCGGCUUCGAGCCUAUGCUCUGGCCACACAACCACUAGAACACAACCACCACUUACACCAAGAGAUUAUUGAAAUAGCAACACAUCACCCCACCUACUCCAUUGUUACAAUAAACAUGAACUAUUAAAAGUUAUUGGCAUAUUCAAUGCAUCCACAAUGGA
rnacentral:lncRNA from 1 species